rnacentral:rRNA from 1 species
UACGUAGGGGGCAAGCGUUGUUCGGAAUUACUGGGCGUAAAGGGCGCGUAGGCGGCACGGCAAGUCGGGAGUGAAAGCCCGGGGCUCAACCCCGGAGGGUCUCUCGAAACUGCCGAGCUAGAGUGCGGAAGAGGCAAUCGGAAUUCCCAGUGUAGCGGUGAAAUGCGUAGAUAUCAGGAGGAAUACCGAUGGCGAAGGCAGGUCUCUGGGCUAUAACUGACGCUCAUGCACGAAAGCGUGGGGAGCAAACAGG